UACCCGACAUCUCUAAAAUCACAAAUCUAAGGCUAGACGGCUUCUUGAGGUCUUCCUGUGCUUCAUAUUCUUCAAUCCAUCUCAACAUCCUUUGCACCAUAGGCCCAAUAAUGGAGAAAGAUAUAACAGAAUAAAUAAUCGAAGAGAGAUAUGUCGAAUUGGCAAAGUUGAUUGGGGCUUCGACGCUUAGAAUAAGGAAACCAGGGAUCUUCAUGGAUUCCUUGUAAUGGUGAAGAUCGCGGUAAAUAUCUGUUCCAGGUGAGAGAAGAGAACUUACUGCAAUGGCAAGACCAUGUUGGACAGAGAUAAAAAUAACACCAAAGAAUGCACA